rnacentral:rRNA from 1 species
AGGAUGAACGCUGGCGGUCUGCUUAACACAUGCAAGUCGAACGGAGUAGAAAUACUUAGUGGCGGACGGGUGAGUAACGCGUGAGAAUCUACCUUCAGGACGGAGACAACAGUUGGAAACGACUGCUAACCCCCGAUGUACUGAAAAGGCAAAUAUUUAUAGCCUGAAGAAGAGCUCGCGUCCGAUUAGCUAGUUGGAGAGGUAAAAGCUCACCAAGGCGACGAUCGGUAGCUGGUCUGAGAGGACGAUCAGCCACACUGGGACUGAGACACGGCCCAGACUCCUACGGGAGGCAGCAGUGGGAAUUUUCCGCAAUGGGCGAAAGCCUGACGGAGCAAGACCGCGUGGGGGAAGAAGGCUCGUUGGGUUGUAAACCCCUUUUCUCUGGGAAGAACGCAAUGACGGUACCAGAGGAAUCAGCAUCGGCUAACUCCGUGCCAGCAGCCGC